CACACACACUUACUGAAAGAAAGAAAAAAGAAGGGAAAAAGGAAUAA
rnacentral:ribozyme from 1 species